CCUACGGGCGGCUGCAGUGGGGAAUAUUGCACAAUGGGGGAAACCCUGAUGCAGCGACGCCGCGUGAGUGAAGAAGUAAUUCGUUACGUAAAGCUCUAUCAGCAGGGAAGAAGAUGAAGGUAACUGAGUAAGAAGCCCCGGCUAACUACGGGCCAGCAGCCGGGGUAAUACGUAGGGGGCAAGCGGUAUCCGGGUUUACUGGGUGGAAAGGGAGCGUAGACGGUGCGCCAAGUCUGGAGUGAAAUGCCGCAGCUUAACUGCGGAACUGCUUUGGAAACUGGCGAACUAGAGUGCGGGAGGGGUAAGCGGAAGUCCUAGUGUAGCGGUGAAAUGCGUAGAUAUUAGGAGGAACACCGGUGGCGAAGGCGGCUUACUGGACUGUAACUGACGUUGAGGCUCGAAAGCGUGGGGAGCGAACAGGAUUAGAUACCCGAGUAGUC
rnacentral:rRNA from 1 species